rnacentral:rRNA from 1 species
UACGAAGGUCCCAAGCGUUGUUCGGAAUUACUGGGCGUAAAGGGAGCGUAGGCGGCGCGGUAAGUCAGAUGUGAAAUCCCGGGGCUCAACCCCGGAACUGCAUCCGAUACUGCCGUGCUAGAGGAUUGGAGAGGUAGCUGGAAUUCUUGGUGUAGCAGUGAAAUGCGUAGAGAUCAAGAGGAACACUCGUGGCGAAAGCGAGCUACUGGACAAUUCCUGACGCUGAGGCUCGAAGGCUAGGGUAGCGAAAGGG